rnacentral:lncRNA from 1 species
AGGGGGAAGGGUCAUCCAGAGAAUGAAAAUCUGGGCACCAUGCAGGGAUCCAUGACCUGUAUAGUCAGGCAGCGGAUGCUGGAGGAAUCCAGGGGGCUCUUUAGAUAGACAAGGCUGAUUGUCCUGUCUAUGGGCUUGUGGUUACCUGACUUGUAAAGAGUCUAAGCCAGUUUCCCAACCCCGUGCCAUGCUCAGCCCGGCUAUACCUGGGAGGCCAAAACCUCUAAGAGCAUCUCUGGCAAUAAGCAGCUUGUAACAUCUACCCAGGAGGCCAAACUACGAUUAUAUUUUUUAUUCAUGACAAGUCAUGGAAAAGGUUAAUGAUCAUGGCUCCAGAUUAGCAUUUCCCAAAGCAGGGGAUUUUGCUGUCAUUUUAGGAUAUGCUACAUAGGGUAUUCCCUUUUGCAAAUACACUCACAAAAUAGCAUUAGCAUAGGAACGGCUCUGAGAAGUUCUAAAUGUAGGGGUUUGGGUGUGGUUUUAACUUUCCUUAGGCCUUUCAAUAUCACACUACACUACUGGUGAGCUUAUGUCCUUAAAUCAGUUGAAUAAAACCAAGGACAGGUGCUAUUAAAACUCCUACCCCAGACUGAUGUUCUUUCUCUGCAGGAACCCUUACCAGGUGACCUUUCUGAAAUAGAUAUAGUCUCUGGGAUCAUGUGGCCAUCUUCCAGGCCAAGCAAUGGGUUCCAAACAAGUAAACCAACAUGUUCUUACUGGCCUAACCUCAUGCUUCUAAAACCAAUACCUGCCUCCUGCCAAGAGUUUAUAGCUAGAAAUAACCUUGUCGCAACUAGUAUGUUGAAGCUUGGCCAAACAUGAGCUUACUUCUUAAGGUUGAGAGUAGGGCUAAAAAUUCACUAUUUAAAUUGUAGGAAAGUCGUGGGGCGCCUGGGUGGCUCAGUUGAUUAAGUGGUCCGCUCUUAAUUUCAACUCAGGUCAUGAUCUCAGGGUCCUGAGAUGGAGGCCUGCAUCAGGCUCUGCACUCAGCCGGGAGUCUGCUUGAGCAUUCUCUCUCCUUCUCCCUCUGCCCCUCCCCCCGCUCACUUGCACUCUCUCUCUCUCUGGAAUGAAUAAGUCUUUAAAAAAUAAAAUUAAAAAAAAUAAUAAUAAAAUAAAAAAUAAAAAAUAAAAAAUAAAAUAAACUGUAGAAAAGUCAUGCGAACCUGAGAACCUACAGAAGGAGUAUGACUCAGGACAGAUCAUUAUUCUCUUAACAGACCUCAGUUUUCCAAAUCUAUAAAGUGAGAGGAUAAGAUGACAUUAUGGGCUCAAGUGUUUGCCCCCAUGUUCAUAUAUUGAAGUUCUAAGUCCCAAUACCUCAGAAUGUCACUGUAUUUGGAGUUGGGCCUGUAGAGGUCAUCAAGGUAAAAUGAGGUCCUGUGGGUGAACCCUAGUCCAAUAUAACUGAUGUCUUUAUAAAGAAAGGAGAUAGGACACAGACACUCAGAGACAACUACGUGAAGAUAUGGUAAGAAAGCAGCUAUCUACAAGCCAAGGAGAGAGACCGUAACAGCAACCAAACCUACUGAUACCAUCAGCUUGAGUUUCUAGCCUCCAGAAUUGUGAGAAAACAAAUUUCUGCAGUUUAAGUGCCUCUGCCUGUGGCAUUUUGCAAUGGCCAGCCUUGGCAACCUAA